CUUCACUUCCCCCUUCACAUAAACGGAGUCUCCUCAAACUUUAUGCACAGUGCAGCAGCAAGGUUUUAUGUUGGGAAUGAUUUUGCAGGGGAAGAGAAGGAGGCAGAAUUGUUCAGCACUUGCCUAAAAAGGCAAAGAGCGUUGGCGGCCAGAGACCUCACAUCACAGAGCGCUGGCGUCUCGUCUCGGACAUGAGAAAGAUGGGUUUAGGGGUCAAACCCAACCAAGUGUGUCACUGAGGAAGCAACAGGCCAUGCAGAGUUAACCUUAGUGGGGGAAAAGUGAGCUGGAAGAGUGUUUAUAAUCCCAUCGGAUGCUCCUCGCAGCGGAGCGUCCCACGAAGUCCUCGUCAAGAGGGGCUGCACAAGCGUCUGCUCUCUCGUCUCUUCUCUCCUGAGAGUGGUGGGACCAAACUUGGCUUGAAACAACAAACAACACUAUCUCCCCCCCGAGUGUGAGAGAGACACUGAGGGGGGAGCGAAGGGGUGGGGUGCAGCCCCGCUGAGCGAAGCAGAGAGAGAAAGAACAAACGGGACGGACAGCGAGGGCAGACACAUCUACGGGCAUCGCUUAAAAAAGCUGAGAGGUACAAGUGUAAGCGGAGUGACUUUAUAUAAAUAUGACACUAAAAAAAGAUCCUGAACAAGUUUUGUUCCUCCCCUUUAAAACCAGUCCACUUUUCUCUUUUUGUGUGAGCAAUCUGCCUUCAAGCCAGCAGUAAUACCAGUGCACUGGGCAAUCAAUACUUCAAUAUUGCAUGUGUGGACCUUUAUUUUUAAAAACAAAAACAAAAGUUGAGCUAUUUCUUCUCUUUAAUAUUGAAUUAUUCUCCCAUGCAAUCACAUAAUCCCACAACAAUUUAACUAGCUGUCAACACAACUUUCACAACAAAUUUGAAAAGUUUAACAGAUUACUCUUCAUUUACAAUUGAAGUUAAAAAGUGGCUUUGGAGCAAUCAAAGCUGCUCACACGGUCACUAAGGUGGGCACUAUGUUUGGCAGAUCAACUUGAUGUGUAUUAUAUUUAUCCGUGACAGCAUUUUUGUUGCAAUUGUGAGGUGUGUCUGUUAAAAUCAUGGUUGUCUUUACAAAUGAUGACAGAUGUGAACAAGAGCAUGUAUUGUCUUUGUGUGAUGAUGUAAAUUAGAUGUGGUUGCAUUGUAUAUUAAGUAUACGUCCAUGAAAGGGCAUUUUAUGACUUUUCUUAAUUUGAUUACCUGAUAUGGUACGAUUUUAUUGUCAUAAUUUUAUUGCAUGAUUUUUGUAUCCCUUUAAUUUAGGUAGCCAGGGACUGCAGAUAGAAAUUAGCUAUUUACCAAUCGUCUGGUACAGAACAUAUCUGCCUUUGAGCUUAUUGUUUCUGUGCAUUGUGCCUUCAAAU